rnacentral:lncRNA from 1 species
GAUAAGAAUGACAUUAUCACAGAAUCCACAAACUUUGGGAUGGAAGGACAGUGCAAAUGACUCGCUCAAGGACAUACAGCCUAUCAGUGCCAGAACACAGCCUGGCUCCCUGAAACUGGAGCUCUCAUUUGUAACUCCUCAGCUCCUUUCUCCCCGCACCACCCUUGCCUCUGGUCAAACAAGGUUCUUCCCGAACUCUAACUUUGUUCCGGUCAGUCUCCACUCCUUGUCAACAAGAUCAGAGAGUACAGGAAGGAAAGGAGCCGUACCUUCAGUGACAAGAUGGGUAUCUUGUGAGUUACUACAUAUUAACCCUAGCAAAGGCGUACUUAUCAGUGCAACAGCUAAUCUUCUUUGUGAAAGCCUUUAUUACACGUAGGGGUUAAGGUCAUUUUAGGAGCAUUUACUCUGAGCAGUCAGAGAAGGAACAGCGGGCUAUUGUAGAUACAAAUACACUUUCGUAAAACACAAAAAACAAACAAACAAAAACCCCCACCCCCCAUUUUAUGACGUAAAGAUCUAAACAAUUUCAGAUAAUUUACUUCUGGAAAUCCUCCCACCCACCACGUGGUCACUCAAGUUCGCUCCUUUUCCAUAGCCGCCACAAGGGGGCAGUUGCGGCCGC